AAAGGGGAAUUCUGCAAUAAAGAAUAAAUUCAGGUGGUAUCUCGCAGUGGGUCCUCCAAUCCACCACCAUCUGCAUUCUGGGGAUCGAGGGCCAGGGCAGCACCGGAAAUGGGCAAAUUCAUGAAACCUGGGAAAGUGGUGCUGGUCCUGGCUGGACGCUACUCUGGACACAAAGCUGUCAUCGUGAAGAACAUUGAUGAUGGCACCUCAGAUUGCCACUACAGCCAUGCUCUGGUGGCUGGAACUGCAAAGUGACAGCUGCCAUGCACAAGAAGACUGCCAAGCGAUCAAAGAUCAAGUCUUUUGUAAAAGUUUAUAACUACAGUCACCUCAUGUCCACAAGGUACUCUGUAGAUAUUCCCUUGGACAAAACUGUCAUCAACAAGGAUGUCUUCAGAGACCCUGCUCUUAAAUGCAAGGCCUGAUGGGAGGCCAAGGUCAAAUUUGAAAAGAGGUACAAGAUGGGCAAGAAUAAGUAGUUCUUCCAGAAACUGCGGUUUUAGGUGUUUUUGUUUUAGUCACUAAAAAUAUUUUAAAAAAGAAAAAU